AUAAUCUUUAAUACGGUCCAGAGAGGCUGACAAGAUUGAUAGUUUAGCUAUGUUUGUAUUUAUAUUUAAGAUAACUCAAACUUCUUGUCAGUAGGCAAGAGGUUUUUUUAUU
rfam:Clostridium novyi NT, complete genome.